rnacentral:tRNA from 1 species
UCCACAGUAGCACAACGGCAAUUUCUCAUCUUUGAAAUCCAGGUUCAAAUCCUGGCUGUGGAA